rnacentral:rRNA from 1 species
AAUCAACGCUGGCGGCGUGCCUAACACAUGCAAGUCGAACGAGAAAGUGGAGCAAUCCAUGAGUACAGUGGCGACCGGGUGAGUAACACGUGACUAACCUACCCUGAAGUGGGGAAUAACCUCGGGAAACCGGGGCUAAUACCGCAUAACAUCGCGAGGGGAAGAUCCUUGUGAUCAAAAGGAGCAAUUCGCUUUAGGAGGGGGUCGCGGCUGAUUAGCUAGUUGGUGAGGUAACGGCCCACCAAGGCUAAGAUCAGUAUCCGGCCUGAGAGGGCGCACGGACACACUGGAACUGAAACACGGUCCAGACUCCUACGGGAGGCAGCAGUGGGGAAUUUUGCGCAAUGGGGGAAACCCUGACGCAGCAACGCCGCGUGGA